rnacentral:lncRNA from 1 species
UAAUUUGACAAAACUGAAAUAAACUGAAUGGUCAAUCCAAGACGUUUGCUUUUCAAAAGCACCAUUUUUUUGCCUCAAUCUUUUUUCACAAAUCACAGUUAAGCAAAUCUAAUUUUUCGGUAAUUCUUCAUUGUUCUUCUUUUCAAGUUUGUUUCCUUGUGGCAGAAUAAUCAAAUCUAACUCCCAUCUGCUCUAUGUACUGUAUCAUUCUGUGUGCAUGGGUCACUCUCCUGUCCAUUUGGCAUGCUAUUCAGCAUAGCGACCAUAUCCUUGGCUAUGCUUUGGGGGAUUUAAGCUGUGUUAAAAGCUGAGGACAUCCUGAGUUGCUGAGGGGAGGUUUCUGGUUCCCUCUUCCCUCUAGGAUUUGAGGAUUCCCAUUCAUGCCUGAAUCACACCCACCACCCAAAGCCGCACUCACUCUAAGAGGGUCUGACCUGCCCUAACUUGUGACUCCUCCGUGUAUGUUGAAAUUAAGAUUGCUCUCGGGUUGCCGAUUUGUCCUGUCUACCACGGGUGUGUUCAGAACAUGUUGUCAACAAAAGAUUACAUCACAGAGGAGGGUGUGCCCAGCAGGUUGGCACCCACCGGGUUCAUCAGAGGCUCUGUGGGCUGAGAAACACAACAUCGUCGGGGUUAAUAGGUGAAAUGCUGUUCCAAUUUUGGAAGUUAUUCUUCUAGGGAGUGAAGACAAAGAACCCCCGCCCACCCCAGCACGUGCCCUUGGCUUCCCUCCACCUGUGUUUUCCUGAACCUGAGAUGUGUUUGCACACGGCAACGCCCACCUUCCAAACAGAAGCUUGCAACUCAGCCAGAUUUUCUGCUGAGCCAGCCAGUCACUGGGAACAAACACUGGGGACUAUGACAACCGCAAAUAUGACAGACGUAUGUGCAUGCUGUGUCUGGGUCACUUUCCUUGUGGCCUUCUCCAGAACCCUUGGCCUGGAAGACCUGAGUUUCCUGAGUCCACCUCCCACUCAGUACAAAGAAGCAAACCAAAGAACCAAGCAAGCUCCAACUGACUUCAGAGCCCAAAGGGAGGAGAGAAGUCUAGAUUGA